AAGAGAGCAUUUCUUGUGAAAAAAAAAUUGAUAUCGAGUUAAAAAUAAGACUUUACGUAUGAAGUAAUUAAUAAAAUCAAAUUAUUUAGAGAUAUUUAAUUAAAUUAUAUAAAUAAUAAACAACGUAUUAUAUUACCUUAGCGUAGGCUUUAAAGAAUUUCAAUUUAAAAAAUACUCUAUCGAUCGUAUAGAUUAUUACUUGUUUAUGUAUUGUAAAUAUAUAUGACACGUAAACAAUGAUUUGAAAUUUGUAAAUAUUAAGUGCAUAGUAAUGUGAAUUUAUAACACAAUGAUAACAGCGGAAUUUUGCAAACGGUACCGAUGAACUUUAUUAUUAUUAUUAUUAUUAUUUAGUUUUUUAUAAUGUUGUAUCAAUUAUAUAGUAAGAAGCAUGACUUUAGCUAGACAGACAAUGACUGGGGAGAGAUUAGAAAUGAUUUCCUAAUCUCAUAAAAUGCUUUUAUAUAUUCCCCUUUUCUCCCAGGAUUAUUUAAACGUAUUUUAUUUUAUAAAUCCGGAAGAGAGUGGGGGGAUUAAAAAUUUCAGGAGGGAGGAACUUUAAUAAGAAUAUAGGAUUAUGGACAGAAUCCUUAAUCCACUAAGAGCUAAAGAGAUCCAAUGGAAUACCACACAGGAAAAUCAUUAACUUAAUGCGCUUUACUAUCACAGGGGAGCUUUGUAAUCACUUUAGGCUCGACUGCUAGCCACAUAAGGGCGAUAAAAAAGCGAUUUAAUAAAAGCGAGAAUUCGCUAACCAAAAUACAUUAAAAACAAGACGGAUGAAAAAAAAAGGCCGUCGGUUUGUCCGUCCUCUCGCGGGACACACUGAUUGUGAAAGACUUGUUUGUUCGGUUUCGGGUAGUAAAAAAUCCCCCUUUCCCCGUCAAGGAAAGUAUUUAGCUGUCCUGACGCUAACUAAUAAAGUAAGGAGAGGCUAAACGUUCCGCAUUCGAACAAGGAUGUCGGUGACGUAACGAGUGACGUCAACGUGAUGUCAGACAAUCGGGUACGGUUACUAUGACGACCAAGGACAAGAUGGAGUGUGGGCAGUGGACGUGACGGCAUUUCUCCACCCCGGCGAAGAAGGGGUAGGACGAAGGUUCAUCGCUGCGAAUAUACAAUCAGCGAUUCUCACGUUUAAUUGUAAUUACCUAAAGCGAUUAAAGGUGGAAGAAAGUAACUCGAGGGAUUUGGCGGAUAGUUUGGACGAAAGCAGGUGCUUGAUGAACAAUCGCGAAUUAGCCCUUUUGGCUUUUUUUUUUCCUUUAAGGGGGCUUACAAACACCAGACCCCUAUCCCUGUUUACAAAACAUCCCCAUUGUUGAUAUGUUUUUGGCGGAUUGUUUGUAAGAACCGAGGGGGUCAAAGGUCGAUUGUUGUUGGUUCCUAACAUCUGUCAGGCACACGUGAGGAGAAAAAAGCGCCUUGUUUUCUUCAAAAACUACUUCGCAGACGUGUUCUGGCCGAGUUCCAAUGUUUGGAAUCGAAUCCCAAACAGGCACGGAAGGAGACGGAUAACUUGAGUUUUUGCCUUAAAUGAUCGUGUCAAAAAUAUCUGUUCGGUGUCUAAUUAUAGAAUUAAAACAAUAGUUUCUCGGAUCUCGCCUUAUUUUUCUGGUAGAACAAUAUUGUUUACGACGAAGGAAGGUAAAGAAAGAAGAAAAAAAACAAUGACUGUACGCCCACGUCGUGUUUCUGCGCCGAUUAACACCGAGCGAAAGCACGUUUUGAACGUAUGAUGAACACAGGAUAUUGCCGAAAUAAAUGUAAUAUUAUAAUCUCAUCAACAUCGCAACCCACUCCUACCUGGCUGCUGGGGGAAAGGAAGCGAAGUCGCACGUAAUGACAUUUUGUCAUGCGCCCCCGUCAUAGUUGCCAUGGAGACGCUGCGUUUCUCACCUGGCGCCCGUCCAACUCUCACCUGUACUGACGUGGGUGAGAGGUGAUCUUUCGCCUCCCCCUAAAUGUAAUGUGGGUACGGUCACACGAGUGCUCACGGUCGUUACGUCAUGCAUACUAAUUACAUCGCUUCGUAAUUCGAAUCCAAGAUUCGAACCCGCAAGCCCAAAGCGCCAUCUAUCGAUUCCAAGGUUUAAAAAUAACCCCCCCCCAACGACAGACCAGAAAGAAUAGGUCUGUAGAGAAGAAGGACUUUAAAAAAAUCUGUUUACGAGUUGAUUAGCGUAGAAGUAAACCCGUUUUGUGAUAUUCCCCCUUCUCCUUCUCCUCCUCCUCCUCCUUCUUCUUCUUCCCACUGUUUUUGCCACCAUCUUGUGUAAGCCUGAAGCUUCGACAUUUGCACGGUCGCUUCUCGGUAAACAAAAAUUUCGCGUGGAUGGACGAGUAAGCAGAAAGGCUCAAACACAAGAGCAACUUUAAGAGAAUCGAUCGAUAGUUUCGUUUCUUGCGAACCCGAUAGGCGUAUUUUCUAUGACGGAACACAAAUUUUUUUGGGGAGGAGAAAAAAAAAAUGGUAGCCAAAUUAACUGGCACGCGUGAAGAAGACGUUACGAUUUCGAAACGUGAAAGUAAAAACUCAAUUAAAAAGUAGCCUGUUCGAUGGGGUAGAGGUAGGAAAACAUGUCACAAUUACACUUUCCGUUCAGGUAGAAGCUGCCCCAUCGUGGCCCGACCUUGACUGACAGCAGAGAUAAGUGCCGAGGGGUUGUUCGAGAUGCGAAGAAAUAAAAACGAAUGAUACAAAACUAAGGUUUCCCAAGUUGCCAAGGUCGAUGUAAUGUCGCUGCAAGGGUUGCCCAAUCAAGGUCACGGGCGGUUAGUGUCGCCAUCUGUCAUCGAAAUCGCUAACUUUCGUGGGUUGUCCCCCUUCUUUUUUUUUUAAUAUAUUUUUUUCUUUACAUCUUCGAGAAAAAUUCUGUAGCAAUAGUAAAAAUUUCGCACGUGCUAAUAUACUAAAGCAAUUAGCUAUAAACCGAAUGAUAAAAAGUGGCGAUAGCAUUGGGUGUAAUGAUGAUAAUAAUAUUUAAUGGGGUAGAAUUAAUAUAAAACGUAUUGUCCUAUUUCGUGGCUUUGAUACCGGAUAAAAAGUUGGAUAACGUGUUAAUUAUAGAUGUAUCAUUAAGAUAAAAGACGAAAGGAUGUGUUUUGGAUAGGUUUUUUGUGUUUUUCCUUUAAGAAAAGCGAAAUGGUUCCUUCGAUAAACUAAAGACACGCCGGGUUUAGAGAAAUUUAUGAUGGAGUAGCCAGGUUUUGGCUUAGUCUAGGUUGUUAGAAAUCGGUUUUUAUUCUUAAAAUAUAAAUUUUUAAAUCAUUUAAUUCGUCUAUUUUUCGCUUUAAUUUAAUCAUUUCGAACUAAAUUAGGAGAGUAAUUAAAAUAUUUUAUUACCCUCCCAUUUAGAAAAGUAGAAGAAGUAGGAGUUGGCAUUGUUCAUAAGGGGAUUGCUUUAAAUUAUACGUAUAAAACCGAAUUAUUUGUACGUUAGAAUAAGUAAAUUGUACACGUAAAUUCUAAAAUGACACUGUUACUGUCGAAGCGUAAAGAAACCAAAGCGAUACAAGUGUAAAGAAGAAUCAAACAAGUUUAUUUAAUUAAAAAAAAAAGUAAAGAGAAAGAUGUAAAUAAGUAGGAUUCCAUAGAAAAUUGUUAAAGAAUUAAUCCAUCAAGAAAUUCAUCAGGAUUUAAAAUAAUUUAAAGAAAAAAAAAUCAAUAUAUAUUUUUUUCUCUUAAUUAAAGCGAUAAUUCGUGUGAAGUAUCCAGAAUUAAAAAAAAAUGAUGAUAAUAACCGGAAUAUUCGGCCUUUUUUUAAGCUUUAUAUUACCGAUGAAAGGGUUUUAUUUUGGUGAAUAUAGAUUUACGGAGCGACGACAGUUUCGUUUAGUAAAUCAGAAAUUUUAGAGAAUUUAUAUUAAGUUUCUUUAACAAGCUGAAGAAGUAAAAAAAGUGACAGUUUAACGACUUUAGUUAAUGGCGAUAAUUUCACUACGGUUAACAAAUCAAAUAUUUCCUGCUGUUAAUGAUAUCGUUUAUUGUCUAACUUCAGUUUUUCGCCCCUCGAUAGUAUUUUACGUCGAUUGGAAUUAGGAUAAUAUCGUAAAAAAAAAAAAAGAAAUCGCUUAAUAUUUAACAAAAAGUCUGUCAAAGCAACGACAAUAAAAAAAAAAA